rnacentral:rRNA from 1 species
UACGUAGGGUGCGAGCGUUAAUCGGAAUUACUGGGCGUAAAGCGUGCGCAGGCGGUUUUGUAAGCCAGAUGUGAAAUCCCCGGGCUUAACCUGGGAAUGGCAUUUGGGACUGCAAGGCUAGAGUGUGGCAGAGGGAGGUGGAAUUCCACGUGUAGCGGUGAAAUGCGUAGAGAUGUGGAGGAACACCGAUGGCGAAGGCAGCCUCCUGGGCCAACACUGACGCUCAUGCACGAAAGCGUGGGGAGCAAACAGG